GCAACCUGGCAUAGGAAGUAGGGCAAUCAGGCCCACCUGCCACAUAUGCUGCCUCAGAGUAAAACCAAUUCACUUUAUGAUGCCCCAGAGCUGCAUUGAAGAGGUGGGAGUCCUCUGUCUCUCCAGGACAGCCAACAUGCAGCCUUUGUAACGGGGAGAGUGCUUCUGGAAUUGAGUACAACCAGAGCAGAAAACCAACCCAAGGUUCACGCCUCAUCUGAGUGCCUCAGAGACUGCAGCUUUGGCUCUAGGACUAAUUUCACCCUUCAGCAGGAUGAUGGACUCUGCACAGGUCAACCUGAGCACAUCUUCUCACUCAGCCACUCAUGUACCACCAAUUUGUCAUAUUUUACUAUCUCCAACAGGGGG